AAAAAGGCAAACCCUGGGUUUCCGUGUCCAACUUUAACUGUCCGUCUUAUAUGAAAUUUUUUUAUAAAUCGUAUUUUCAUUGUUGUUAGAUGAUAAAACAUGAUUAAUAUUUUAUGCGUAACUUGUCUUUUUAAUUUUUUUCAUAAUUUUUUCAAAUAAAACGGACGGUCAAAUAUUGGACACGGAAAUCAGGGUUUGUCUUUUU
rfam:Oryza glumipatula chromosome 1, whole genome shotgun sequence.